rnacentral:rRNA from 1 species
UACAGAGGUCCCGAGCGUUGUUCGGAAUUAUUGGGCGUAAAGGGUGCGUAGGCGGUAUGGUAAGUUAGAUGUGAAAUGUCGGCGCUUAACGCCGAACCUGCAUUUAAGACUGCCGUGCUUGAACACUAGAGAGGAGUCUGGAAUUUACGGUGUAGCAGUGAAAUGCGUAGAUAUCGUAAGGAAGACCAGUGGCGAAAGCGAGACUCUGGCUAGAUGUUGACGCUGAGGCACGAAAGCUGGGGGAGCAAACGGG